UACGUAGGGUCCAAGCGUUGUCCGGAAUUAUUGGGCGUAAAGAGCUCGUAGGCGGUGUGUCGCGUCGGAUGUGAAAGCCCGGGGCUUAACCCCGGGUCUGCAUUCGGUACGGGCAUGCUGGAGUUCGGUAGGGGAGACUGGAAUUCCUGGUGUAGCGGUGAAAUGCGCAGAUAUCAGGAGGAACACCAGCGGCGAAGGCGGCGCUCUGGGCUGGAACUGACGCUGAGGAGCGAAAGCGUGGGGAGCGAACAGG
rnacentral:rRNA from 1 species